rnacentral:rRNA from 1 species
UACGUAGGGGGCAAGCGUUGUCCGGAAUCAUUGGGCGUAAAGAGCGUGUAGGCGGCCCGGUAAGUCCGCUGUGAAAGUCCAGGGCUCAACCCUGGGAUGCCGGUGGAUACUGUCGGGCUCGAGUCCGGAAGAGGAGUGUGGAAUUCCUGGUGUAGCGGUGAAAUGCGCAGAUAUCGGGAGGAACACCAAUUGCGAAGGCAGCUCGCUGGGACGUUACUGACGCUGAGACGCGAAAGCGUGGGGAGCAAACAGG